AGAGGAGGCGCUAGAAAGUUUUCUACCGAUCCUAGAGACUUCUAGGAUCGGUAGAAAACUUUCUAGCGCAACCCUAAAAGUACUCAAUAAGUUAGUGUCUGGCGAAACGCUCGACAAGGCUAUAAAUCA
rnacentral:sRNA from 1 species